CACGUAGGGGGCAAGCGUUGUCCGGAUUCAUUGGGCGUAAAGAGCUCGUAGGCGGUUCGAUAAGUCGGGUGUGAAACCUCCAGGCUCAACCUGGAGACGCCACCCGAUACUGUCGUGACUAGAGUCCAGUAGGGGAGCGUGGAAUUCCUGGUGUAGCGGUGAAAUGCGCAGAUAUCAGGAGGAACACCAGCGGCGAAGGCGGCGCUCUGGGCUGGAACUGACGCUGAGGAGCGAAGGCGUGGGGAGCGAACAGG
rnacentral:rRNA from 1 species